CCCUUAGAUGUUCUGGGAUGCACGCGCGUUACACUGAUUCGUUCAACGAGUUUAUGACCUUGCCUGAUGAGGUGGGGGAAUCUUUUCAAAUCGCAUCGUGAUGGGGAUAGAGUAUUGUAACUGUUAGUCUUCAACGAGGAAUUCCUAGUAAGUACGUGUCAUCAGCUCGUACUGAUUAUGUCCCUGCCCUUUGUACACACCGCCCGUCGCUCCUACCGAUUGAGUGCUCAGGUGAAUAGUAUGGACUGCAUCAGUGUUCGGUCUCCGAAUGUUGACGCGGGAAAUUCUGUGAAUCUUAUUGCUUAGAGGAAGGAGAAGUCGUAACA
rnacentral:rRNA from 1 species